GUCAAGUGCCGGCAUCCUACACUCCGCGGGGUGGUAUGAGCAGGGGUCCCUGCUGCUUCCAGGGGAAGCUGAACGGAGUCACACAGGAAGUGAGAUGGUGCUGCAAGAUGGGCUAUCUCUUUCUUCUCAACCCAGGCCCCAGCAGGAAGUGAUUCUUGCCAGCAACUGCCCUCCCAUGCCCCAUGUCUGGGGCAGAGAAGUCACAGCCACGAUGGGGAGAACACCAGUGCAGGACAGAGAGCCCAGCUCGGGAGGAGAGACACAGAGCUGGGGCAUCUAUCACUCGGCGCCAGCCUGCCCAUCUGCUCGGGGCUGACACUUUGCAGAGAGCGCUGGAAGGACGUCUACACUGGAAGAGAGCUUCUCUGGGCAAGAACCGGAACACAGAGAUGGCUUUGACCAUGCAGAGGAGGACCGUGUCCUAGGAGACAGUAGAGCAACAAGAUGGAAGACACCUGGGUUCCUGAAUGACAACGUGGAACAAAGACUCUCGCCAACCCGGACUGCCCACCACGGCACUGUUU